rnacentral:rRNA from 1 species
GACAGAGGGUGCAAACGUUGUUCGGAAUUACUGGGCGUAAAGCGCGUGUAGGCGGUCGUGCAAGUCGGGAGUGAAAGCCCGGGGCUCAACCCCGGAACUGCUUUCGAAACUGCUGAGCUAGAGUACAGAAGGGGCAACCGGAAUUCCCAGUGUAGCGGUGAAAUGCGUAGAUAUUGGGAAGAACACCUGAGGCGAAGGCGGGUUGCUGGGCUGAUACUGACGCUGAGGCGCGAAAGCCAGGGGAGCAAACGGG